UUGGUCAUUUAGAGGAAGUAAAAGUCGUAACAAGGUCUCCGUUGGUGAACCAGCGGAGGGAUCAUUACUGAGUUAUCAAACUCCAAACCAAUGUGAAUCUUACCACUGUUGCUUCGGCUGCCGCUCUAGUCGGGGAGGUGUUUCUACUCCUCCGCGCUUGAGCAAUGAGUGCAGCCGAAGGCAUUUUACUAUCAGUUAUAUUGUAUUCUUUUCUGAGUCGGUUUUACAAAUAAAUCAAAACUUUCAACAACGGAUCUCUUGGUUCUGGCAUCGAUGAAGAACGCAGCGAAAUGCGAUAAGUAAUGUGAAUUGCAGAAUUCAGUGAAUCAUCGAAUCUUUGAACGCACAUUGCGCCCGCCAGUAUUCUGGCGGGCAUGCCUGUCCGAGCGUCAUUUCAACCCUCGAGAACAUUUUAAUUUUCUCGGUGUUGGAGAUCGACAACACUCUUGUCGUCUCCCAAAUCUAGUGGCGGUCUGGCCGAGUUCCUCUGCGCAGUAAUUAACUCUCGCAGGUGGAAGGAGGUCAGUGCCAGCCGUGAAAACCCCAACUUCACAAGGUUGACCUCGGAUCAGGUAGGGAUACCCGCUGAACUUAAGCAUAUCAAUAAG
rnacentral:rRNA from 1 species